rnacentral:rRNA from 1 species
GAUGAACGCUGGCGGCGUGCCUAAUACAUGCAAGUCGAGCGAACGGACGAGAAGCUUGCUUCUCUGAUGUUAGCGGCGGACGGGUGCGUAACACGUGGAUAACCUACCUAUAAGACUGGGAUAACUUCGGGAAACCGGAGCUAAUACCGGAUAAUAUUUUGUCCCGCAUGGUUCAAAAGUAAAAGACGGUCUUGCUGUCCCUUAUAGAUGGAUCCGCACUGCAUUAGUUAGUUGGUAAGGUAACGGCUUACCAAGGCAACGAUGCAUAGCCGACCUGAGAGGGUGAUCGGCCACACUGGAACGGAGACACGGUCCAGACUCCUAAGGGAGGCAGCAGUGGGGAAUCUUCCGCAAUGGGCGAAAGCCUGACAGCGCAACGCCGCGUGAGUGAUGAUGGUCUUCGGAUCGUAAAACUCUGUUAUUAGGGAAGAACAUAUGUGUAAGUAACUGUGCACAUCUUGACGGUACCUAAUCAGAAAGCCACGGCUAACUACGUG